CGAAGUGCUGGGGGCACCUGCACUCGCCGUCGUCAUUUUCGUUUAGUUGCGAGCAAAUUGAAUGCAGGGGGCAGUCCAAUUUGUGUAUAUUGCACGCUUGAUCUACGGGUUAAAGGAAAAGGAAUGAAUAGAAAAGUGUCCGUCCGCAUCUCCAUUCCAUUGUCUGAAUGGUAAAUGAGGCGGACUGAGCACUCCGAGGACUGAGGUGAACAAAAAAGAAGAGGCAUAUUUUUAUUUUGAUUGUGAAACAAGGGGACAGAGAGCUAUUCUACAAAGAACACGGCAACACAACAAAAAGGAUUUUUAUUUCUUUUCUUUUUUUCUUGGAGUUCGUUGAUUGCGAAGGGAGAAUAAUUUUGUUGGGAUUCGGAGGAGGGGAUUUAUUUAUUCACAAGAAAUACAAAAAGUUCAUGAUUGUGUUAAUAUGAAUUUGUGUUUGUUUUAUCGAUUAAUAACUUAAGAAUUUACACACAUCAAAAUUUAUAAUAAAUACGAUCGAAAAAGAUCCACAGUGAGUGCUGAUGACUGGAAAAUUUUCACAAAA